rnacentral:rRNA from 1 species
GACGAACGCUGGCGGCGUGCCUAACACAUGCAAGUCGAACGGAACUUUUUUAAAAGAUUUCUUCGGAAUGAAUUUGAUUAAGUUUAGUGGCGGACGGGUGAGUAACGCGUGAGUAACCUGCCUCUGAGAGGGGAAUAACAUUCUGAAAAGAAUGCUAAUACCGCAUAAUAUAUAUUUAUCGCAUGGUAGAUAUAUCAAAGAUUUAUCGCUUAGAGAUGGACUCGCGUCCGAUUAGUUAGUUGGUGAGGUAACGGCUCACCAAGACCGCGAUCGGUAGCCGGACUGAGAGGUUGAACGGCCACAUUGGGACUGAGACACGGCCCAGACUCCUACGGGAGGCAGCAGUGGGGGAUAUUGCGCAAUGGGGGAAACCCUGACGCAGCAACGCCGCGUGAAGGAUGAAGGUCUUCGGAUUGUAAACUUCUUUUAUUAAGGACGAAGAAAGUGACGGUACUUAAUGAAUAAGCUCCGGCUAA